rnacentral:tRNA from 1 species
GGAUUGUGGCUUAGUGGUAGAGCACUCGCCUAGCAUGGAUGAGGCACUGGGUUCAAUCCUCAGCACCA